AUACGUAGGGGGCGAGCGUUGUCCGGAAUGAUUGGGCGUAAAGGGCGCGUAGGCGGCUUUGCAAGUCAGUAGUGGAAGUCCAUUUUUCAAGGAUGGAAGUGCUACAGAAACUGCGGAGCUUGAGUGCAGGAGAGGUUAUCGGAAUUCCCGGUGUAGCGGUGAAAUGCGUAGAGAUCGGGAGGAACACCAGUGGCGAAGGCGGGUAACUGGACUGCAACUGACUCUGAGUCGCGAAAGUGUGGGGAGCAAACAGGGUUAGAUACCCGCCUAGUCCACACUGUAAACGAUGAAUGCUAGGUGUAGGAGGUAUCGCCCCCUUCGGUGCCGCAGUAAACACAGUAAGCAUUCCGCCUGGGGAGUACGGUCUCACCGUUAAAACUCAAAUGAGUUGACUGGG
rnacentral:rRNA from 1 species